AGUGAACGCUGGCGGUAGGCCUAACACAUGCAAGUCGAACGGCAGCACAGUAAGAGCUUGCUCUUACGGGUGGCGAGUGGCGGACGGGUGAGGAAUACAUCGGAAUCUACUUUUUCGUGGGGGAUAACGUAGGGAAACUUACGCUAAUACCGCAUACGACCUACGGGUGAAAGCAGGGGAUCUUCGGACCUUGCGCGAUUGAAUGAGCCGAUGUCGGAUUAGCUAGUUGGCGGGGUAAAGGCCCACCAAGGCGACGAUCCGUAGCUGGUCUGAGAGGAUGAACCGACACACUGGAACUGAGACACGGUCCAGACUCCUACGGGAGGCAGCAGUGGGGAAUAUUGGACAAUGGGGGCAAGCCUGAUCCAGCCAUACCGCGGGAGUGAAGAAGGCCUUCGGGUUGUAAAGCCCUUUUGUUGGGAAAGAAAAGCAGCAGGUUAAUACCCCGCUGUUCUGACGGUACCCAAAGAAUAAGCACCGGCUAACUUCGUG
rnacentral:rRNA from 1 species